rnacentral:lncRNA from 1 species
AGGGAGAAAGAGAAAUCUUUCUGUCUUAAAGUGUAAUUAACAAUGGCUUCCUCAGUUCUUUCCUCUGCAGCAGUUGCCACCCGCAGCAAUGUUGCUCAAGCUAACAUGGUUGCACCUUUCACUGGCCUUAAGUCAGCUGCCUCAUUCCCUGUUUCAAGGAAGCAAAACCUUGACAUCACUUCCAUUGCCAGCAACGGCGGAAGAGUGCAAUGCAUGCAGGUAAUUUAUAUACAAUGACAGUGCAAAAAAUUUUGAUACAAUUAAUGCAUCUUAACAUGUCAUAGCUAAAAAUUCUAUUUUGGUGGAAUAUAGGUGUGGCCACCAAUUAACAAGAAGAAGUACGAGACUCUCUCAUACCUUCCUGAUUUGAGCCAGGAGCAAUUGCUUAGUGAAGUUGAGUACCUUUUGAAAAAUGGAUGGGUUCCUUGCUUGGAAUUCN